UUUAUGAAUUUCACCGAGGUAAGUGGAUAGUAAAGGAUUUUAUUAUUGAUAAAAAAAUUUGUUGUAAAUUAUGCUCCAUUGGUCUUUUUGUGUUUUCUACCCACCUUUACCUCCGUGACGGUGAGAUAGUAUGAUGUCUUUACUAGGCUGGUGUAGCUCAUUCCUUAUUUAAUCAUUUCAUAUCAGGAAGACAUUGUUCCCGAGCCCGUUCCGCAGGAAGACGGCGAAGGGGACGUCUGAAGACUCCGU
rnacentral:lncRNA from 1 species